rnacentral:rRNA from 1 species
AACGAACGCUGGCGGCAUGCCUAACACAUGCAAGUCGAACGAGACCUUCGGGUCUAGUGGCGCACGGGUGCGUAACGCGUGGGAACCUGCCCUUAGGUUCGGAAUAACUCCCUGAAAGGGGUGCUAAUACCGGAUAAUGUCUCCGGACCAAAGAUUUAUCGACUUUGGAUGGGCCCGCGUUGGGUUAGCUAGUUGGUAGGGUAUAAGCCUACCAAGGCGACGAUCCAUAGCUGGUCUGAGAGGAUGAUCAGCCACACUGGGACUGAGACACGGCCCAGACUCCUACGGGAGGCAGCAGUGGGGAAUAUUGGACAAUGGGCGAAAGCCUGAUCCAGCAAUGCCGCGUGAGUGAUGAAGGCCUUAGGGUUGUAAAGCUCUUUUACCCGGGAUGAUAAUGACAGUACCGGGAGAAUAAGCUCCGGCUAACUCCGUG